rnacentral:lncRNA from 1 species
CGGCGAACCAGGAACCGGAAGUAGAAGCGCAGGUUCCACUACCCAGGGUUAGCGGCAGCGCCCUCGGCCUCCCGCCAGCCGUGAGGACAGUGGCUCCUUUUUCCACGGCAGGGUCCGACCUCACUUCUCCACGGCGACCCGGGCUCGGCAGGACUUUCCGUAAAGGCGUCGACGAGCGGUUUCAACUACGCAGUGCACCCGAGUGCGAGAGAAGGUCGCUGUGGAUUGUCGCGUCCAGAGGCCCCUCAUCUGGAUCUCUGCGCCUGGGCUGUAAUUGGGGGCGGCCUUUUCUGUAUCGAAGAAAAUUAAAUUCCCUAGGCAAAAAAAGGAGUGUUUCUUACCGAUACCAUUGCAAUCACGGUGUUCGAUUUUAGUGGACCAAGAAUUCGGCGAGUUAGUAAGCAGGAACGGUUCAGAGAAGGGCGCUUGUUUCGACACCUUACAGCUGCAGCGUGUCCUUGGAAGAAAUACAUAUAUUUUAAAUCAAAUCAACUUUAUUGAUACGUAUUAAUAAAGCAUAAAUCCUUCCAAAGUGUAUAAUCAGUGAUAUUUCGUUUAAUCGGAGUUGUGCAUUCAUCACUUCAAUCAUAAUUAGAGCAUUUUUAUUAUUCCAAUAAUAAUAAAAACAAAAAACAGUUAAUCAAAAACUUAUCACCUCCGGAUCGCCCUUUGUUUCCCCUGCCAUACUUAGCUGCUAUUCGGGCUCUCUAGUUUACUUGUAUUUAUAUUUUGUGUAGGUGGAAUCAAGCAAUGUCUAGGACCUUGCGUUUUUUGUUCAUUUUGCAGCUGACUUUAUCUGGAUGUCCCAGACUGAUAAACGUCAGGGCAGAUACUUUCUCAUUCUGAGAUGAUUUUUAUUGUCUCACUCAAAUCUGUCACAAGGAGACUUUCCUUGUGGAAACUGGGCGCCA